rnacentral:tRNA from 1 species
GGGUAGGUAGUUCAACUGGUCAGAACUCUCGUCUCCAAAACGAGAAAUGUCGGUCCAAGUCCGACCCUUCCCA